rnacentral:lncRNA from 1 species
AUAUUUGCUUAUCUUAGAAGCACUCUAGAUUACAUAAGUCUUUAUCUUUGUUGUAUUUCCUCAAGUGACUCUGCGCAGUCAGUAUACUUGAGAGGACUAAGAGAUCCUUCUCUUAGACGUUGUUUGUAAUCAAUCUUUCAAGAUUAGUGGAUUAAGUCCUUGUUGAAGGCAAAAUCACCUUGGCCGGGUGGACUGGAGUAGCUUUGUGUUAUAAGCGAACCAGUAUAAAUU